GUGGUGCCUCUUCCCUCGGCGGCACGCGGCACCCGCUUUGAUUCUCGGUUUCCUGCCUGCGUGUUGUUCCACCUGUUCAUAAACGCUUUUGCUGCCUGCUCUGUACACACACGUGCAUUCGCAUUCCACCCUCAUUUCAGACGUUACGGUAGGCUAAUUGAGCUCAUGCAAAACGCUACGUGGAGGUAAUUAAAACUGUUUUUUUCCUAUGCCGUUCCUGCCAGGCUUGUACAAGUUGAGGUAUUUUCGAUAGGUACAUCUUCAUGCAAGUGUUUGUGCUUGCUGCACUCAUUUCAGUGCAUUGCUGUGUGGCUGCAGGCCCAUCAUAGUCUGUUUGCUGUAGAACUGCAGGUUCAAUUACAGAGGGCACUUUGUGGAGGGAAAAACAGAACAGAAGUCAUCAAAAAGAAGCAAACAAUUUACUACAAGCAAAUCUGAAACAUUCUGUGUUCUUACGCUUCCACUGAGCACCAGACAAACUCAACCACCUCAAGUGCUGCCUGUCAUGCAGUGCAGGAGAAGCCUAUGGAUGUCUUCAUGAGUUAGUUUUACAUAAAAGCAAAAUUAAGAUAUUUCUGCCCUCACAGUGCACUUCUAUACACAAGUGAGAUAUUUUCCACUAUGUUAAGAUUUUUCAUAAGCUUGCACACGUACAGAUCUCCAUGCAGACUUAGUUCACUGGAAGCCAAUGGCUUUAAUUUCUGUUUUGUGUGGCCAGGCAAUUGUAGGCUGGAAUGAAGAGCAGAAAGUAGAGAAGAGGAAAACUUUACCUGCCAGUUGUCCAACAGUCAUAGACAAAGAAUACUGAAAACAUUCAUAAAUCAGGGAAAACAGUUUUAAAGCAGUGUCACACUGGUCUUCCUCACUGCUUGCUGUCAUGUACAUCAAGUGUCACAGGUGAAGAUACACCAUCCCAGGCUAAAUUGGGAAUUGUCUCAGUAAUGGGGUUAGCACUUGAAUAAAAGCGUAGAGGUGUGUGCCUUCUGCGAUGAAUGGAAAUUACUCACAUGCAGUUUGGGUUCUUGAGUUAUUUUUUACUUACAUUGCAGUUUCAAUCUACAGAAGGAAUUCUAACUCAGAAAGUCAUGUAGGUCAUAUUUCUGACUCUUGGCACCACAAACAUCUUUAUGUAGUCAAGACCCUCAAGGUACAUUACUCAAAUCUUAGGUAUAAAGAAGAAUUUCAGAAGUUGUUCAUACAGCACAAUUGUGAGAAAGGCUAUGUGGGACAGUCCUACUUAUUCUACGUUCACCAUACAUUCAUGUUUUUUUUUUUUUUUUUUUGGAAAUACCAUAACCAGUGUUUCAGUUAUCCAGUGAAAUCUGUGCUAGCAUAGCUUUGUUGUAACUCAUAUGAAGUGGUCAUAAGUUGGCAGGCAGAAGUCAAAAAGCUUGGUGAAGUUUUGGGUGCAUUGUGGAACAAGGUGGGGGAGUAAGGAAAGACAAUUAUACAAUAAUUUAAUCUUUUAGAGCAUGCUAGAAUGAUGCCAAACUUUAGAUUUUUUUUUUUUGAGAACAAGUGUUUGAAGAUGUAUACAAGUAAUCAGAAAUUACUGUAUGUUAGUCACUUCAUAUACAUGGUCCCUUACUGCUGCUCAUCUACUGGCCUGCUGCUAUUGCAGAGGAAGAGGAAAAGUCUAUGUGUGUGCUUUGUAAGGUGUGGUCAGAAGGAAACAGAAAACCCAGAGAAAACUUGUAGCUGUAUGAGCAGGUGUCAACAGUUAGCUGAACUCUGAAACAGGCAGCUGAUUUAAUUCAUACUCAACCUAGACUAACCAUUGAGUGAAGGCUACACAUAGGCCCUGUCUUGACAGGGAUAACUAUAAGCUUUUUUGUAUUCCCUGUGUAAUUUAUACAACUUGUAAGGACAAGGUCCUGGAUUCUUCGAUAGAAGCGUAUUGGUACAAGAAUUGAAAAACAAAACAUUGUUAGCUACAUCUCUGAUAGUUAAAUCAUUCUUCCUCCAGAUUCUGGAAAAUACAAGGCAGUGCUGGACAACUGUAGCUCUACAUUUAAGUACUCUGACAGUGAAUUACUGAGCAAGAGAGAACAUUCCAAGGAAGUGGGUGACAAGCACACACAGCUCACAGCUAAACUACUGCAAUCAAGUGGAUCAGAAACAGAAUUGGAGCUAUUUUAUCUGGACCUAAUUAAACAACCUUCAUUACUGGCAGGGAUUUAUUAAUUGUGGAUUGACGAGGAAUAGAGAUUGGUGUAGACAGGUGUUCACCCACAGCAUCAUCCCCCUUAGUGGACUGAUGACAAGUGAAUGCCUGUAACAGGAGCUCCUAGAAGAUUUAAAAAUAUGUGGAAACGAGCUGAGAGUUUUGCAAGCAUACCUGAAUGGCAAAUAAACUGAGGUAAAUUGGAGUUUAUGUUCCUAAACAUAUUGUACAAUCAGUGGAUAAGACAGGGUUUAAAUAUAGAUUGAAAACCACAGGGUCUUAAGUAUCUAGGAAUAUUUUACCUUGUAGAGUUGAAGGCUAUGACUAAAUUU
rnacentral:lncRNA from 1 species